CCGCCGCGCUCCUGGGCCGCCCGGCGCCUCCGUCUUAUAUAGGACCGCGGCGCUAUAUAAAGCUUCGCAGUCAUGCUCCGGCCGGGAGGGGCUGAAACGGAGCGCGCCGCUUACUCUGAAAGUCCAAGGAAAAGCGGGAGCCUGAGGGCCUGUUAGAACAGGUGCAGGGCUAUUGCCGGGUGCCCUCCUGCCGGCAGGCUUUGUGGCUGGAGGACCUCAAGGGGCUGGUGCGCGGUCGGACAGCAGCCUCUAAGCACCUGCAGAGAGCAGAAGAGAAGCGGGGAGGGGAGACAGAGAUUUGGGAUGUCCCAGGCUGCUAAGCCGGAGCUGAGCACCCCGCUAACCCGGUGGCCCUGCCAGGUCUUGGACUCUACUGCGCAGCCUCCCGGCCAACCCUGGGCCCUGGAAUGUGCCCAUCAGCUGCCUCUGCGAAAGGGGAAAGGUAUGGGUGACUCACUCCCCUCCCGGGAGCACAUGACGGCCCUGCUCUCCGUGCGCAGGACACGGCUUGGCAGAUGGGUCGUAGGGUCACCCACCCCUGCCGCUGGGGCCAGGAGCACAGCCUCUCCCAGCGCGCAGCUCUGACUCCCGAUGGCCUCGCUCUGUGGUGGCUUCCUCCACUGGAGGCCAUGCAUCCCCGAGGGAGCAGCUCACAUUUUGCGGGCAGGGCUACCACCCUCCUAGGACCAAGGCACGACACGCAUAAACUCUGGAGUGGAAGAGCUAGAAGCUGGCGCCCGUGCAGGCCACCCGAGGACCAGGACCGCCAAGGGGAGGAGUGGCUGAGGGCCUGACUGGUACCGCCUAGGGUGCUAACGCUGGGUCCUCCCAGCACGCUGGCUGGGUACUGCUCUCCUCCCCUGGGCUGGGGUCUGUGCCGGCCUGGAGGCCGGGCUGCCAGCGGCAGGGAGGACACGGGCAGGCACACGGAGUGAGCAGAGAACACCGAGAGGAGCCGACGGCAGCCCACCUUAUGGACGCGUCUGCACCACCGGCGCAGCCCCCACCGGCACACGGGCAUCGGAGCUGGGAGCCAGGGACUGAACAACGCCUGUGUGCUGCUGGGCUUCUCCGGAACUACGAUCCAUGCUGUCCUUGACCCAAGGUGGACCAAAUGUUCGUGUGCGUUCCCUCCCAGAACAUCGGCAGGCAGCCCUUCCGUCCCACCUGCUGCUGUAGACAUGCUCAGAGACCAACAGAUGCAAAGCCCCGGGUGGGGACGCCUGGGCGACCAUCAGAGUCCUGCCAGCUGUUGUGGAACCCCUCUCCUGCUCUCAAGAGGGACCCACAGGCGCCCGCACACUUCCUGGGGUCCCAAGGAGUCACCAUCGGGCUCCCACACACUGUUGGCCCCACACCGCAGCUGGGCCCGCCAUCCAGGAAAACCAGUUCUCUCAGCAUGAACUCCAAGCGAGCUGAGGUUCUACUGGUCAAAUCACAUUUUAAAACCUGGGUGAUUUGCUGUUUGCUGUUUGAACACGUGACCCUGACCAGUGUGGCUCAGUGGUGAGCAGAGCAAUGCCACCGGGUCACCCGUGCCCAAGCGCAUGCCGCUGGUUCCUCGUCAGACCCCCAGCGGCAGGAAGCCUUGGCGCUGGCCCAAGGCAGCAGGAUGCCCCAGGACAGCACCAGACCCCCACCCCCAUCCAACUGCAGCACCUGUGGCCGUGCGUGCUUGGCGAAUGACCACCUGGGACACGCCUGUGGCUUCCGUGGACGCCCCACGCUCCGAGAAAGCUGCCCCAAUGGGGAGAGGCCUAACCCCGGCCCACUCCCCGCCGCAUGGAGAGCUUGUGAAGCAGAGACGAGAGGUAGUAAAAUUUCAACUUUAUUUGGCCAAUGUAUUCAAUUCCAAUAUCGUUAGAAACGGCUGAAGAACAGCCCGCAAGUGGUUCGGCUCAAGCACCCUUGGCCGUUGCGCAGCCUGGAAAUGGAGGGUUCUGGUUGUGCCUGCCGCAGGCCUCAGGCGGUGCUGGAAGUCACAGAGCACCGGGGAGCCUAGCUCGGGGAGGAAGGGGGGCUGCCCGGGUCUGCCCUGGGCUCAGCCAGCAUCCACCACCCCCUCCAGUCGUACAAGGCCCCAGUGACGGAGACCUAGAGUCUCCACCUAAGCCAACACCACGAGACCCACGCUCCGUCACGCGGUACCAGCAGGAGGGGAGAGGGACCCGGCCGGCCCGGCCCGGCCCCUCCCACACAGGGGACAGGAGUCUCCAGGUAGGCCCGGCCACAGUGGGACACCCUGAUGUCCAAAAAUGUCUCAAAAUCCCACAAAUGGAAUUUCUUAAAGUGAUAGUAUAAACCCUAACAGGAAGGAGACUUCACCUGCAUGAGAUUCAGAGACAUUUUAACAAGCACUUUGGACAGAACAUGUACAAAAAAGUACAUCACAAUUAAAAAAAAAAACAACA